AGAACCUGAAAUGGGAUUUGAAAUCCCUAACUUCUUGCUUUCUUCUCCUCUACCUCAUUCCUUCAUCUUCUUUGUUCGAACGGCGGCAACGCCGAAAGGAGGUCGAAGAUAUAUUCUAAGUCGCUCGGGCCGACAUGGCUCCUUCCUAUACUGAGUCGUUAUGGUUUCCGACGGUGGUGGUAGCGGUGAGGUUACGGUUUUAAAUCGGUACAAUUGAGAGGCAAAGGGUCUCGGAGUGUGUCUGGAAUAUGGGUGUUUUGAAGCUGGUUGAGGCUGUGGAGCCUCUUGCUGCUUGGGCAUUAGGCAACAAUUUAGCACCAAAGUUCUUUGUGAGAAAAAUAUAGGAGCAUAGUAAUUCAUCAAUUCGAUGCACUGCUUCUUG